UCUAAGGAUGAAUGAAAGUAAAAUUUCAUUCUAAAUAAUAUACAGGUAAUGUUGACCGUCCUCAUUUCUCUUCUUAAAAAAGUGUUUCUCUUGCAUGGGGGCCGGUAGCUCAGUUGGUUAGAGCACACCCUUGAUAAGGGUGGGGUCGAAAGUUCGAGUCUUUCUCGGCCCACCAAAUAAAGAUCAUGGGGGAUUAGCUCAGCUGGGAGAGCGCCUGAUUUGCAUUCAGGAGGUCAGCGGUUCGAUCCCGCUAUCCUCCACCAAAAACACUUAGUUAUAAAAAUUGUGAAUAUAAAUAAUAAUUAAUAUCAAUAUCUAUAUCCGAACAUUAGUAAUGUUAUUAGCUAAUGUUCAAAAUAAAAAUUUGAUUCAACACAGAAUUUUUUUCUGUGCAUAAAU
rnacentral:tRNA from 1 species